GCGUUCAAUUCAGCAGCACAUAUACUGAAAUUGGAACAAUACAGAGAUGAUUAGAAUGGCCCUUGCAAGAAAGACAUGAAAAUUCAUGAAGUGUUCCACUUUUUU
ensembl:snRNA Rnu6-1158 RNA, U6 small nuclear 1158